CCUACGGGAGGCAGCAGUCGAGAAUCAUUCACAAUGGGGGAAACCCUGAUGGUGCGACGCCGCGUGGGGGAAUGAAGGUCUUCGGAUUGUAAACCCCUGUCAUGCGGGAGUAAAUUAAAAAGAUAGUACCACAAGAGGAAGAGACGGCUAACUCUGUGCCAGCAGCCGCGGUAAUACAGAGGUCUCAAGCGUUGUUCGGAAUCACUGGGCGUAAAGGGUGCGUAGGCUGUUUCGUAAGUCGUGUGUGAAAGGCGCGGGCUCAACCCGCGGACGGCACAUGAUACUGCGAGACUAGAGUAAUGGAGGGGGAACCGGAAUUCGCGGUGUAGCAGUGAAAUGCGUAGAUAUCGAGAGGAACACUCGUGGCGAAGGCGGGUUCCUGGACAUUAACUGACGCUGAGGCACGAAGGCCAGGGGAGCGAAAGGGAUUAGAUACCCGGGUAGUC
rnacentral:rRNA from 1 species